UCGCUUUCUGCAACCAUCUACGAGGGCUGCAGCCUCCUCUUUGCUCGGGACCUAGCCGUCGAUGCGAACACUAGCUCUUCUUGUUUUCACUCUGCCUCGAUUCCCUUCGUCUCGAAACCCCGGCCUUUUGAAAUAUUCCUCCGAAAGUUUUCACCUUUCGCCUGAUUUCGCUUCGCAGGAUGCUCGAAGUGUGAGGAAGCUGCAAUUUUGGGGAAUGUAUUUUAGGAGGCCAGUAGAGAUGGGGUGGAGCCGCGGAAGAGAAACUGGAUGCAUCUCACCGCCAUGGAAGUAGGGGAUGAAGCUUCUGAGGAGCCAGAGCGAAGCGGAUGGGAUGGGGAUGAACUACACCGCAUCCCCUUUUCGAGCCCCGAAUCAAGAACAUAGGAGGGAGACGAGCGCAUAAAGGAACGGAGGAACUGUCCAUUCUUCAGUAUCAAGAUGCCUAGGAUGUCCAAGAGCAUUCCUCGUAGUGCACUGUUUAAAAUUUAGUUAUCCUUUUAUAAUUUGUAGUUCUUUUACUAAGCAACUUCGCUCGAAUUACUGUUGUUUAAGAUUAUUUCCAAGAGAUUUUGCUGAGAUAUUUGAAGAAUUAAGUCCUUGAGCUCA